GAUGAACGCUGGCGGCGUGCCUAAUACAUGCAAGUCGAGCGAAUGGAUUAAGAGCUUGCUCUUAUGAAGUUAGCGGCGGACGGGUGAGUAACACGUGGGUAACCUGCCCAUAAGACUGGGAUAACUCCGGGAAACCGGGGCUAAUACCGGAUAACAUUUUGAACCGCAUGGUUCGAAAUUGAAAGGCGGCUUCGGCUGUCACUUAUGGAUGGACCCGCGUCGCAUUAGCUAGUUGGUGAGGUAACGGCUCACCAAGGCAACGAUGCGUAGCCGACCGGGGAGGGGGAUCGGCCCCACGGGGACUGAGACACGGCCCAGACUCCUACGGGAGGCAGCAGUAGGGAAUCUUCCGAAAUGGACGAAAGUCUGACGGAGCAACGCCGCGUGAGUGAUGAAGGCUUUCGGGUCGUAAAACUCUGUUGUUAGGGAAGAACAAGUGCUAGUUGAAUAAGCUGGCACCUUGACGGUACCUAACCAGAAAGCCACGGCUAACUACGAGCCAGCAGCCGCCGUAA
rnacentral:rRNA from 1 species